UACGUAGGUGGCAAGCGUUGUCCGGAUUUACUGGGCGUAAAGGGCGUGCAGGCGGUUUGUUAAGUGCAGGGUGAAAGCUCCCGGCUCAACUGGGAGAGGUCCUUGCAUACUGGCAAACUCGAGGGAGACAGAGGAAAGUGGAAUUCCCGGUGUAGUGGUGAUAUGCGUAGAUACCGGGAGGAACACCUGUGGCGAAGGCGGCUUUCUGGGCCUUACCUGACGCUGAGACGCGAAAGCGUGGGGAGCGAACCGG
rnacentral:rRNA from 1 species